rnacentral:lncRNA from 1 species
GAACCGACUCGAAAAGCUCCGAAGCAAAUUGGAGCUCACCAACAAUAGUUGUAUGACCUGGCUCCUACUUGUGCGGUGUAUGAGCUGAGGUACCUGUGCCUGCAACAUGAAAUGCAGGUCCCCCAUGAGGGACGUCAGUACGAUAUAUGUACUGAGUAUGUAAAGCUGUAAAUAAUCAUAUGUGAUAUGGGGGAUCAAGAAAAUCAGACACAAGUGAAUAAAUCAUAAUAGAAGUGAACCAUACUUCAUAAACACUUUUAGGAUCAUGUACAUUAUCAUUAAUCUGAAUUGGGUUCUUGAAUUCAAACACAUUUGUGGAANNNNN